UACGAAGGGGGCUAGCGUUGUUCGGAAUUACUGGGCGUAAAGCGUGCGCAGGCGGCUUCUCAAGUCAGGGGUGAAAGCCCAGAGCUCAACUCUGGAAUUGCCUUUGAGACUGAGUGGCUUGAGUACGAGAGAGGUGAGUGGAAUUCCCAGUGUAGAGGUGAAAUUCGUAGAUAUUGGGAAGAACACCGGUGGCGAAGGCGGCUCACUGGCCCGAUACUGACGCUGAGGCACGAAAGCGUGGGGAGCAAACAGG
rnacentral:rRNA from 1 species